rnacentral:rRNA from 1 species
GAGACAGGUGCUGCAUGGCCGUCGUCAGCUCGUGUUGUGAAAUGUUGGGUUAAGUCCCGCAACGAGCGCAACCCUUAUCCUUUGUUGCCAGCGAUUCGGUCGGGAACUCAAAGGAGACUGCCGGUGAUAAACCGGAGGAAGGUGGGGAUGACGUCAAGUCAUCAUGGCCCUUACGAGUAGGGCUACACACGUGCUACAAUGGGGUAUACAAAGAGAAGCGACCUCGCGAGAGCAAGCGGAACUCAUAAAGUACGUCGUAGUCCGGAUUGGAGUCUGCAACUCGACUCCA